rnacentral:tRNA from 1 species
CUCCCCGUAGUUCAACGGAUAGAACGGCUCCCUUCUAAGGAGUAAAUCGAGGUUCGAUUCCUCGCGGGGAGG